rnacentral:lncRNA from 1 species
GUAAAAAGAUGUUUUAUUCAUUAGCAAACAGAAAAUGGUGAAAAUAAGAUUAUUACAAGAGAAAAGAUGUUAGUGGUGUGUACAGAGACCCAACACUCAUGUAGCAAGAUUUAAAGUAAUUGACAUAUUGACCUAAUCACUACGAGUCUGCUUUCAUAUAAACUAAUAUAUUGAUAAGCACUCGAGAAGACCAUAUAUACCACUUUAUCACUUCUCCCUGGAACAAUCAAUUGUCCUUUUAGAGAAUUCAUUAGCCUAGAUGAUAUCUGAAGGAAGCACAAAUCCAUAAGAACUGCGGGCAUUCUCCAAGCAGCAAUGUGUAUGCAAAAAAAUGAACGAAACUGGGCUGUAUCACCAAAUUUGUAGUCAUCCAAAUCUUUGUUCGAAACCUUUCUUUUUUUAAAUUAAACUAACAAUGUUUUAAAUUUCUUCUAACAUAUGUCUGUGUUCUAGUUUUGGUAGCCCUACGAAUCUGAUACUUGUGCAUCUCGACCUAUUUUGGUAGUCCUGCAUAUCGCAUACUUGUGCAUUUCAGAUACUUGUGCAUUUCGGAUAUUCUAGGAACAUCAUUUCCUUUGAUAUGCUUAUCCUAUGUUAUCCUGCAUGAGCAAUGGGAUUAGAUAUGUAAUUUUUGCUCACUGCAAUAAACAUUUCUGCCACUUUGGCAAAACUUAUGGUAGUUGAAUUAAUCUAAUGUUGGUACCAACCAAAAGAUGGCAUAUAUUAAUUCUUGUUCAUUAGAUUGUUAGUUGUAGUGC